UUGAUAUCACCGGUUCCCGUGCGAACACCGAAAUUAAGCAACGUCGAGUCUGGUCAGUACCUAGAUGAGUGACCGCUUGAAAAUACCAU